rnacentral:rRNA from 1 species
GACGAACCGUGUGAACGUUAUUCGGAAUCACUGGGCUUAAAGGGCGCGUAGGCGGGCCGAAAAGCCAGGGGUGAAAUCCUCCAGCCCAACUGGAGAAGCGCCUUUGGAACUGGCGGCCUCGGAGGGGUGCAGGGGCAUGCGGAACUCAGGGUGGAGCGGUGAAAUGCGUAGAUAUCCUGAGGAACACCGGUGGCGAAAGCGGCGUGCUGGACACCUUCUGACGCUGAGGCGCGAAAGCCAGGGGAGCGAACGGG